UAUUUUAAUUUAAAUACUUGAUACUUGGUUGUCAGACUGCCGUGUGACAUAAAAAGUAACAGUUUUGAUUGUGUGUGUGUAGCUAAUGUUAGAGUUACUUGCGUUUCACUUUUUGCACGUCUUUGAUAGCAUGCUAACGUUAGCUAACUAGCUUGCUCCAGUCCUGUGCAAGUUGGUCUGCUCCACGUGGUGGUUCCGUGGGCGCGUCUCACUUCAGCACCAGGUUUUUUUUAGCCUCAUGCUAGUUUGUUCUCUUUAUUUCAGCUGCUUACAAAAAUAUUGAGGACUAAUCUGAUUUAAGCUUUCCUGAAAUUUGAGAUCCCAUUAGUUUAUCAGAGGCAAAGCUGUAUGAUGGGUCUGGAACUAAAGUUGAUGAGGUGGUGAAAUGGCCAGAUCUUGGUGUUUGAUGCUAAAGAAUCUUCCCUGAUGAGUCCUGUCUCUGCCAGUUCUGUAAUGUGUGGUUCAGACCAUGAGUUGGAUGAUGCAAUCAUUUUGAGUGAUGGAAGCUCCUCACGACAGCACAGCAUCAAAGAUCUGAUGAAGAAGCAAAAAAAGUAUGUUUGUAAUUCAUUCUUCAAUUCACUUGCCAUCAAAGCUAAUAGAGAGCAUACUGAAGAAAAAGUCUGGUGGAGAGGGUGUCAUCAAGAAAUACUUCAAAACUAAAAACCUGACUGACUGCACCAGACGAAAGAUGAUCAACAUUCUUGUUUCAGCGAUGAGACUUAUGGGACAUCACCACCGCGCAGUGUGAGGAAAAACGUCUGCAUCAUCUCCUUGUUCCCAUACCUGAAGGAUCCCUACACCACAAAUGGAUAUAUUGAAUUGGAUUUUGUGCUGCUGUUUGGAGAGGGGACAUCAGCCAAGUUUUUGGAGAGGUGGCCAACUACAUUCAAGUAAAAGAUCAUCAUGCUAAGCAAGACCCUAAGCAAGGCCAAUCAGGGAGCUGAACUUCAGGAGCUGAUCCAGAUAGCAGAAUUUGCAGUUGAUGAGGGAGCUGACGCGAAUGCUGAUGGAUGGAACGGUGACCUUUCCUCCAUCCUUCUCCUGCUCCAUUUGAUUAUUCCUUCAUCACAAGGCUGCAAAAGACAAGGCAUGAUGUCUGCAUCCCAAGCUGAACAGCAUCUUGUGAUAUUCCAAAAGGCAGGAACCAGUAUGUAUCCAGGAGCACCUUGACGCGAUUGACCAGAGCCGCCAACCAUAUCUUCUUGCAGUCAGGACCAGGAAGAGCAGCUUUCAUGCUUACUUCAUCAUCUUGGUGCCUUCGAAGAGCUUUAAGACUCACUUUGUUUUUGGUACUGCUUACAGUACAAUGCUGCGCAACAUGUACACCUUCAUACAGACAACUGUGUACAACAUAGACAUUGGGAAGGUUAAGGAGACUCCAAUGGUUUCUGAGCUCAGAGCUAGACUCCUGCACUAAUGCCGAUUUAAGUUAUGAUGAUAUGUUUUGUUUGCCAAGCUAGUCAUGGAAGUACCAACUUGCUCGUGAGGCAUCUCAAGUUGAUGCAUGGAACGUUCCCUGUUAGAACUCUUAGACUAAAAUGUGGUCAAGCAGAUUAAUGUUGUGUAUUUGGUACAUUUUCAGGCUUUAGGAAGCAUUUGAACAGGGCACAUUCCAGAGACUAUCAAAUGUUGUUACGCUAACUUGGAUACUAAUACAGCAGUUGAUAAU